rnacentral:rRNA from 1 species
GGACGAACGCUGGCGGCGUGCCUAACACAUGCAAGUCGAGCGGAGUCAGUAAGAGGAAGUUUCGGAUGGAAUCUUAUGAUUAGCGGCGGACGGGUGAGUAACGCGUGAGCGACCAACCUUGCACAGGGGGAUAACGGACCGAAAGGUUCACUAAUACCGCAUGAGACCACGGUGUUGCAUGACACAGGGGUCAAAGGAGCAAUCCGGUGCAAGACGGGCUCGCGUCCGAUUAGGUAGUUGAGGGGUAACGGCCCACCAAGCCUAUGAUCGGUAGCCGACCUGAGAGGGUGAUCGGCCACAUUGGAACUGAGAUACGGUCCAAACUCCUACGGGAGGCAGCAGUGGGGAAUAUUGGGCAAAAUGGGGGAAACCCUGACCCAGCAACGCCGCGUGAAGGAAGAAGGUUUUCGGAUUGUAAACUUCUGUCCUUGGUGAAGAGAAGAAGACGGUAGCCAAGGAGGAAGCCCCGGCUAACUACGUGCCAGCAGCCGC